GGUGGCCCUAGGAGGGCCCAAGGGCACCACAGUAGCCCUGCGAGGAGCUCCUGCUAAAACACUUCACCGGACAGGGCCUUGGAGGCCCCGCCCCCGCAGGGAUGGAGGGGGCUGCACAGGGAGGGGCCCCUUGGCACCAAGCUCAGACCAUCAGAAAAGCCACGAUAUGACAGUCACAUCACAAUCACCUUUGUUUAACUCUCGUGAUUCACCCUGACCACUUGCUGCAGUCCCUCGCAGCUCUGUCAGAAGAGGAGCCAAGCCUGGGUACGUUGGCAGCCCCGGGGGACUGAGGAGAGCAUGCCCUGCC
rnacentral:lncRNA from 1 species